rnacentral:misc_RNA from 1 species
UCACCGAACGGUCGGCAGGCGAUCCGCGUCGGUCGCGCUGGGUGGUAUGGUUCCCCAGAGGCCGGUUCUUGUGCUGCCUACCCCUUCAGGGGAAGAGUCCCAAACUGGAUGUAAGCCUCCAUCGGGCCCCCUCCAAAGGGCGCGGGAGGACAACGGAGCACCCCCCGCGUUCCACCGAGCCUCCUCGGUCGCGUGGCCCGCGGGGACGUGCGAUGCUCUAGGACCCAGCGAACGCCGUGGGCGAGGACUCCCGUCCCGGUCCCAAGUGAAGCAACGGUAUAACGCGGACGGCCGCUCCCGCCCCCCGACCGCCCCGGCGGCGCGGGGGCGAAGGCGCGGCGUCGCUGAGGAAUGCUACCU